UUUUUUUUUUUUUUUUUUUUUUUUUUUGUCCUUUUAGGGCCGCACCCGCAGCAUAUGGAAGUUCCCAGGCUAGGUAGGGGUCAAAUUGGAGCUGUAGCUGCCGGCCUAUACCACAUCCACAGCAACACAGGAUCUGAGCUGCAUCUGCGACCCACACAACUCAUGGCAACACCAGAUCCUUAACCCGCUGAGCAAGGAUGCUGCGUUUUUAUUAAAUCAGAGACUUCUAUCUGGUUCUGAGUCCCCAUAAGAAGGAUAUGUUGCUUGUGACUAAAACAAGGAGUGGCAAUAGGGGUGGCCCCAUUUGCCAUUUUGCCUGCAGGGCUGGAGGUCCCUGGCACCAGGAACCAAGAGUUCUACUGCGGUACCAGGUGCAGCUCCUGCCAGGACAUGGGGCCUCCUGGCCAAAGGACCUGCAGGAGAAAAGGGCAUGACCGCAUUGGUAGAGGGUCCCGAUCAGCAGGUGGGGCAGGGCUGUUUUCACACAAUGGGGACAGGAAACACCACAGGGGGACCCACUGCAACUGGGAACAGAUGUGCAGAACCCCAGCCUGAGACACACAGUAAGUGUUCAGACCCUUCAGAGACGAGCAUCUGGGCAGGCUGGGGGUGAGAGGAUUUUGGAAGGGAUGGGGGUGGUGAAAGGGGAGGAUGAGCACAGUCUGCAAACCCAAGGUCGACUGCAGGGAAGGGGCUGUCAUUCACCUCACUGAUUUCCUCCAUCAGUGAUGAGGAAAGGCCUCCCUUUCCAGGAAGAAAGGUUUUGCCUGAGGAAAGGCCCAGCCAAACCACAGGAAUGCUGCUCCCCGCACGGGUGGACAAAUAGAACUGCACACGCGCCUCACAGCCCCGCAGACUUAGAGAAGGCCACUCACAAGAGCCCCAGAGGCUGAGCUUCGAGAUUCACCCCCUGGUUUGUGCCGAGGCCACACCUCCCAUGGGCCUCGCUCAGCCAAUGACACAGGACAAUGGGGACCCAGGAGGCCUCUGAGCCAACUCUGGUGUGAGGACUCCCUGCCAAAUUUGCAGGAAUUUCUUUAGGCUGUACCACAGUCCAGGAACUUCCACCC
rnacentral:lncRNA from 9 species